UACGGGAGUGGCAAGCGUUAUCCGGAAUUAUUGGGCGUAAAGCGUCCGCAGGCGGUCUUUUAAGUCUGCUGUUAAAGCGUGGAGCUUAACUCCAUUUCGGCAGUGGAAACUGGAAGACUAGAGUGUGGUAGGGGCAGAGGGAAUUCCCGGUGUAGCGGUGAAAUGCGUAGAUAUCGGGAAGAACACCAGUGGCGAAGGCGCUCUGCUGGGCCAUAACUGACGCUCAUGGACGAAAGCCAGGGGAGCGAAAGGGAUUAGAUACCCCUGUAGUCCUGGCCGUAAACGAUGAACACUAGGUGUCGGGGGAAUCGACCCCCUCGGUGUCGUAGCCAACGCGUUAAGUGUUCCGCCUGGGGAGUACGCACGCAAGUGUGAAACUCAAAGGAAUUGACGGGGGCCCGCACAAGCGGUGGAGUAUGUGGUUUAAUUCGAUGCAACGCGAAGAACCUUACCAGGGUUUGACAUCCUGCGAAUCCCUUGGAAACGAGGGAGUGCCUUCGGGAACGCAGUGACAGGUGGUGCAUGGCUGUCGUCAGCUCGUGUCGUGAGAUGUUGGGUUAAGUCCCGCAACGAGCGCAACCCACGUCGUUAGUUGCCAGCAUUCAGUUGGGCACUCUAGCGAGACCGCCGGUGAUAAACCGGAGGAAGGUGUGGAUGACGUCAAGUCAUCAUGCCCCUUACAUCCUGGGCUACACACGUACUACAAUGCUACGGACAAAGGGCAGCAAACUCGCGAGAGCUAGCAAAUCCCAUAAACCGUGGCUCAGUUCAGAUCGUAGGCUGCAACUCGCCUACGUGAAGGAGGAAUCGCUAGUAAUCGCAGGUCAGCAUACUGCGGUGAAUACGUUCCCGGGCCU
rnacentral:rRNA from 1 species